UUCAAACGAGAGUUUGAUCCUGGCUCAGAACGAACGCUGGCGGCGUGCUUAACACAUGCAAGUCGAGUGCGCGGUUGUAGCAAUACAACUGGCGCACGGCGCACGGGUGCGUAACACGUGGGCAAUCUGCCCUUCGAUGGGG
rnacentral:rRNA from 1 species